GUCCGAGUAAUUCAGCGGUAGAAGGCCGCUCUUACAAAGCGGAAGUCGUUGGUUCGAUCCCAACCUCGGAUACCA
rnacentral:tRNA from 1 species